rnacentral:rRNA from 1 species
UACGUUCCCGGGUCUUGUACACACCGCCCGUCAAGCCAUGGAAGUUGGGAGGACCUGAAGACAGUUGCUGUAAGGCGCUGUUUAGGGUUAAACCGAUGACUGGGGCU